rnacentral:rRNA from 1 species
GAACGAGCGAGAGAGAGCUUGCUUUCUCGAGCGAGUGGCGAACGGGUGAGUAACGCGUGAGGAACCUGCCUCAAAGAGGGGGACAACAGUUGGAAACGACUGCUAAUACCGCAUAAGCCCACGGGUCGGCAUCGACCAGAGGGAAAAGGAGCAAUCCGCUUUGAGAUGGCCUCGCGUCCGAUUAGCUAGUUGGUGAGGUAACGGCCCACCAAGGCAACGAUCGGUAGCCGGACUGAGAGGUUGAACGGCCACAUUGGGACUGAGACACGGCCCAGACUCCUACGGGAGGCAGCAGUGGGGAAUAUUGCACAAUGGGGGAAACCCUGAUGCAGCGACGCCGCGUGGAGGAAGAAGGUCUUCGGAUUGUAAACUCCUGUUGUUGGGGAAGAUAAUGACGGUACCCAACAAGGAAGUGACGGCUAACUACGUGCCAGCAGCCGCGGUAAAACGUAGGUCACAAGCGUUGUCCGGAAUUACUGGGUGUAAAGGGAGCGCAGGCGGGAAGACAAGUUGGAAGUGAAAUCUAUGGGCUCAACCCAUAAACUGCUUUCAAAACUGUUUUUCUUGAGUAGUGCAGAGGUAGGCGGAAUUCCCGGUGUAGCGGUGGAAUGCGUAGAUAUCGGGAGGAACACCAGUGGCGAAGGCGGCCUACUGGGCACCAACUGACGCUGAGGCUCGAAAGUGUGGGUAGCAAACAGGAUUAGAUACCCUGGUAGUCCACACCGUAAACGAUGAUUACUAGGUGUUGGAGGAUUGACCCCUUCAGUGCCGCAGUUAACACAAUAAGUAAUCCACCUGGGGAGUACGACCGCAAGGUUGAAACUCAAAGGAAUUGACGGGG